AUGGUGUACCACAACUUCGAUUCUGUAGAAGACGACCGACAUAACUACUAUCAACCAGAAUUCCUAAACACCCUAACCCCAAAUGGACUGCCUCCACAUAUGCCGAAGCUAAUUUUUUUUCCAAUAAUACUACUCAGGAACAUCGACCCUGCUAAUGGGCUCUGCAACGGCACCAGACUAGUCGUACGUGGAUUUCAGAAAAAUGCAAUUGAUGCAGAGAUUGUGGUAGGGCAGCACUCUGGAGUGCGAGUUUUCUUGCCUCGGAUACCAUUAUGCCCAUCUGACAACAACAUGUUCCUGUUCAGUUUCAAGAGAAAAACAAUUUCCAGUCAGACUCAGUUUUGCAAUGACAAUAAACAAAUUACAAGGCUAGACAAUACCAACUGUCGGUGUCUACCUGCCUGA
rnacentral:rRNA from 1 species